UACGUAGGGUGCAAGCGUUGUCCGGAAUUAUUGGGCGUAAAGAGCUCGUAGGCGGUUUGUCGCGUCUGCUGUGAAAACGCGAGGCUCAACCUCGCGCCUGCAGUGGGUACGGGCAGACUAGAGUGUGGUAGGGGAGAUGGGAAUUCCUGGUGUAGCGGUGGAAUGCGCAGAUAUCAGGAGGAACACCAAUGGCGAAGGCAGCACUCUGGGACGUGACUGACGCUGAGACGCGAAAGCGUGGGGAGCAAACAGG
rnacentral:rRNA from 1 species